GAAAAAUAGUGAUGAAUUAUUGUGUACAUCUAGUGAAAAACUUUAGUGGAAGACAAGUAACUAUCGACCGAAAAAAUACAUAGAGCCGAAGGGAAUACAGUCCAUCGUCGAAGGAAAGAUAGAGAUGAUUUAUGUAGGCCAUGCAGGUACAAUUUGUAUCACGUCAGUUUUUACCGACCGAGACGUGCUGCGCGGCAGUUGAGUUAUUGCUCGAACCAGGGUCGAGAUAGUUUUGAAACAAGUGAAAUGAUGAGAUCGAGGCAGAAGGAUGCUAAAGAUUUUUCUUCCAAGCCAGGUUAUUUUGACAUAUAUUUGAGGUUAGAGUGACAUAUGUCGUAUUGUGGAUAUUUCAAUCGAACAUGUUACAGGUAUUUAAAUACACAUUUGAAGUCAGCAAUUCUGGCAUUGGUUUCUGACUUUAAACGACUGUUAGACUGUGCUGCUAUCCCCACUAAUUCUUACAAUUUAUUUGGUACUAAUUUGAAUGCUCAAAAAUCACCCACACGAAUAAUUGUUCAGAAAUGGCCUCUGAAUACGAACACGUUCUAAAUCCUACAAAAAUCUACCGUUGGAGGGCUAUAUCAGAAUAUUUCUUGGAGCCAGCAGGAGAAACUAACUUGGACCUUAAUUCGCGUGGUGGUGGGCUGCAUCAUCUCGCUUCUGUUGCACUUUCACUGGCCAUUCCAGGAAUCGGGAUCAAUGUCCCCUGCCAAGGUUCAGCGCGUCGUAUUGACCUCGGGCCAAGAAAGAUGUAGCCACCUCCGAUCGAACCUUCAAAGGGGAGUGUGUAACCGCUGCAAGAAAGUAGGCCAACAAAACAAACCACGUCGCCUGAUUCAGGGCCGUGGAGUAAAGCCGAGGGGUGAUGUUGUAUGGAUGGUGCGCACGCGCGCGCACGUACACCAGAAGAGGGCACACGAAGCUUCUUCGCUGGGAUCCCGGCUAAUUUGCAGUCCAAGGAUGCUCUUUCGUUCGAAAGAGGAAAGUAAACGUUAGAAGAAAGAGGACAGCGAAAAAGGAAAGAGAAGGACGGAACAGAGAGAUCGCGGAGGCAACAGAGGAACUGAUGUCCUCUGGAGAUGAGCAGCCGCCUGAAGGAGAACGAUAUUGCUCCUUGGCUUGGCUGGAUACCGUGCUCCUCCGCCUCCUUCUUUUCCUCUAUCCCGCAGACCAUGAACACGGGGAAAAGGAUAAAAAGAUUACGGGAGCAAAUACCCGAGCGAAGGCGAACCCGUCGUCGAAUGGACCAACGCGGAUAGAUAGGAAUCUUUCGCCUCCCUUUUAGAUGGCAAACACCGUGCACAAUCUCUUAUCCAACGGGAUA